GGAAAAGGCAACUGAAACCUACUCCGGAUACAGUCUUGUUACUCUUCACCAGGCACCCAUUUGAGGUAGGACCUCAAGUUACAGAUGGGGAAACUGCGGACCAGAGAGGUUAAAAUACUUGUACCGAAUCACACGGCUGGUCGAUGGCAGAAGCAGGAUUCAAACUGAGGCCACCCAAGACUUUUUGCACCAGAACCUGUUGGCCGUGCUGUUGUCCACUCAUCCACCAAACAACUGUGGAGUAUUGACUCAAACGCCAGCCCCUGUCUGGGUCUCCAAGGGAGUUAAAUGUUGGAAGGGCGCCGUGCACCGAGUGCCGUCCCUGCUGUCCGCACAGAGGCUCGGCUGGGCUCCCGCUCCCCCUCGGUGGAAUGAGCUGUCACAGCCGCCUCCGCGCGCACCUGUGCCCAAGGAGUGGCAGCUGGGCUGGCUUCAUGCCCCGGGAAAGGGAUGUUUGGCAUCACCAGCGGUUGGCAGACCGGUUGCGCACCUGCUUAGCUGUCAGGCUUAUCUGAAGGACAAGUCCUCCUGCCUCCAAACAGCAAAACCUCCAGCGCGGCUGGAAACGGAGCUGUGGCUGCCCAUUUGCAUUUCGAGGUCACUGUGUGGCAGGGCCAGGAGCUGAGCUGGAGACGACGGCAUCGUGUGGCCAGAGGAGGGUUCAAGGGACGUGAGGAAAAGGGGCCUCCACAAUCGCCAGAGACAAUCCAAGGACCGUGGGAGCUGCUGGCCUCAGCCCCGGACUUUCCUGGAGCUGAGACAGUUUCAAAGCCACUGGCUGCCAGGUACUGUCAUCCCGUGGCCAUGGGACCAUCUCACGUGAUCAGUUCCUCUCUCUCCUCAGAUGAGACUGGAGCGUGGAGUGGGUGCGGGGGUGCUAGGACCCCGACAUGGGGACAAGGUCAGACCCCAGGGAGGGGGAAGUCACCAGCAAGGAGCCCACAUCGGGGACCGGGGUCGGGGGGGGGCUUCCUGUGACCCCACACUGCUCCUGCAGCCUGACUCAUCACCCGAGUUCAUGUCUGCUUUGGAGAAUGAGGGGACAGACUUAGAAGGAAACACAUGCAGGCCCGACACCUAAAGACAAAGCCAGCUGUCCCUGUGGUUUAUUUCUAGUAUUUUGUCUGAUUGCUUUUCACUGAGUCGGUGAUAGCCAAAGUCUCUAGUUCUUAGUCCGUACCAGUGCUGUUUGGACACUCUCCCUGCGCUCCGUGCUCUUCCUAUGAUGAAGUGAAAACUCGACGUAAGGACAGGAAAAGUGUAGCCUGGCCAGCUGUGGGGCAGAGUUCAUGUAGGGUCAGCCCAUGGCAUGUCUGGCCAUCACACCUUGCUCACUUCUGCUCCUCCUUUUCCUUGUACUGUUAUGACAUCAGCGUCUCUCCUGACACCACCUGUGCCUGCUGAAAUUCAGGCCUGACACUGCCCAGGUGUGUGACCCUAGGCAGGUUCACAAACCUCUCACCUGUAAAAUGGGGAUGGUGCUAGGACCUGCCAUGGGGUGGUUGCAAAGCUUAAGUGGGGGUGGUUAAGAAAAGCCUGGGAACACCAAGGAGCAUCAUUGAGACACAGUGAGUAUUUGUGGAAUAUUAAUUCUUAAUUCUUUAAUAAUUCCCUAAUGAAUUAUUUACUUAAUUGCUUUAGGAUCAGUCAUCAUUUAUUCACUCAACUGUUAGGCUCUUAACAUUUUCAGUUAGGUUAGGGAUAGCAUAGGGUGAGGAUUGUUAGGGUUAGGGUGGGGA
rnacentral:lncRNA from 10 species